rnacentral:rRNA from 1 species
CCUACGGGUGGCAGCAGUGGGGGAUAUUGCACAAUGGGGGAAACGCUGAUGCAGCGACGCCGCGUGGGCGAAGAAGUAUUUCGGUAUGUAAAGCCCUAUCAGCAGGGAAGAAGAAAUGACGGUACCUGACUAAGAAGCCCCGGCUAACUACGUGCCAGCAGCCGCGGUAAUACGUAGGGGGCAAGCGGUAUCCGGAUUUACUGGGUGUAAAGGGGGCGCAGACGGCAGCGCAAGCCAGGAGUGAAAGCCCGGGGCCCAACCCCGGGACUGCCCUUGGAACUGCGCGGCUGGAGUGCAGGAGGGGCAGGCGGAAUUCCUGGUGUAGCGGUGAAAUGCGUAGAUAUCAGGAGGAACACCGGUGGCGAAGGCGGCCUGCUGGACUGCGACUGACGUUGAGGCCCGAAAGCGUGGGGAGCAAACAGGAUUAGAUACCCCAGUAGUC